GUCAGGGUGGCAUAGUGAUUAGAGUGUUGGACUACGACUCUGAAGACCAGGGUUUGAAUCUCGGCUCAGCCA